CGUGUAGGCGGCUCGGCAAGUCGGGUGUGAAAGCCCUGGGCUCAACCCAGGAAGUGCAUUCGAAACUGCCGAGCUGGAGUCCCGGAGAGGAAGGCGGAAUUCUCGGUGUAGAGGUGAAAUUCGUAGAUAUCGAGAGGAACACCGGUGGCGAAGGCGGCCUUCUGGACGGCGACUGACGCUGAGACGCGAAAGCGUGGGGAGCAAACAGGAUUAGAUACCCUGGUAGUCCACGCCGUAAACGAUGGGUGCUAGGUGUCGCGGGCAUUGACCCCUGCGGUGCCGAAGCCAACGCAUUAAGCACCCCGCCUGGGGAGUACGGCCGCAAGGCUAAA
rnacentral:rRNA from 1 species